UACGUAGGGUCCGAGCGUUGUCCGGAUUUAUUGGGCGUCCAGAGCUCGUAGGCGGUUCCGUAAGUCCGAUGUGAAAACUCAGGGCUCAACCCGGAGACGCCAUCUGAUACUGCGGUGACUGGAGUCUGGUAGGGGAACACGGAAUUCCUGGUGUAGCGGUGAAAUGCGCAGAUAUCAGGAAGAACACCAAUGGCGAAGGCAGCUCUCUGGGACGGUACUGACGCUGAGACGCGAAAGCGUGGGGAGCGAACAGG
rnacentral:rRNA from 1 species